AGCGUUGCUUCCUGUAUAUGACUGGAGCUUCAUCUGGGAGCUGCUGGUGCUGCUGGCUGUGCACAAAAGCAGAGUUAGGAGCUCAGGUUUCAGCCACUUUGGGAGGGCCCUCUGCAAACAUCCACAUACUAGAAGCUUGUCAUGGUUUUGUCCCUUCGUCAUGGAACCAGGCCAAGACAGGCUGGACUGUGACAUAGCUGAGCUACGCAAGAAUUAUGUGGAUAGCUUUCACGGAGCCACAGAAUAUCCUAAGUUGGAAGGGGAUCCAAUUCGACUUGUGAUGCUUUGAGCAUCCUAAUCUUUUUUACCACUAUAUACAAGAGGGCUAUGCCGCAAUAAUGAACAGCGCGCAUCGUGUGAAAAGUUGAGCAACUCGUGAAAGCUGCUGCUGAUGGAACACCGAGCUGGUAUGAUC
rnacentral:lncRNA from 1 species